rnacentral:tmRNA from 1 species
GGGGUUGUUUGGUUUUGACAGCUCGUAUGUGAUUAUGUAAGCACGUCGGACGUUGUAAGCAGGUUCCGUAAUAGCCAACUUUCAUGCCAGAUAAAUGGCGAAAAUAAUAAUUUUGCUUUAGCUGCCUAGUUGAACUAAGUAGCAAGCUGUUUCCUCAAAAGCUUUUCUCUACAGCGUUUGAAGUGAAGCAUCGGAAAUGUGGAGAUAGUUUCUAUAUGCCUCGAUAUGGGAAUGAAAAUUAAGAGGAUAAACUUUUGUCUGGUUUGCCUUGUACCGUACAUUAAGUCGAAAAACAAACAAAGGAUAAGCGUGUAGAAAGCAUUUUUGCAGCGUGUUUGGACGAGGGUUCGACUCCCUCCAACUCCACAA